rnacentral:rRNA from 1 species
AACGCGAAGAACCUUACCUACCCUUGACAUCCUAGGAAUCUUGCAGAGAUGCGGGAGUGCCGAAAGGAACCUGGAGACAGGUGCUGCAUGGCUGUCGUCAGCUCGUGUUGUGAGAUGUUGGGUUAAGUCCCGUAACGAGCGCAACCCUUAUCCUUAGUUGCCAACAUGUAAUGGUGGGGACUCUAAGGAGACUGCCGGUGAUGAACCGGAGGAAGGCGGGGACGACGUCAAGUCAUCAUGGCCUUUAUGGGUAGGGCUACACACGUGCUACAAUGGGCAGUACAGAGGGUCGCGAAGCCGCGAGGUGAAGCCAAUCCCAGAAAGCUGCUCGUAGUCCGGAUCGGAGUCUGCAACUCGACUCCGUGAAGUCGGAAUCGCUAGUAAUCGCGAAUCAGAAUGUCGCGGUGAAUACGUUCCCGGGCCUUGUACACACCGGCUAC